GUCGAGCCCUCGACAUCGAUCCCGCCGGCGGAACGGCGGCCCGCGGCAGUACCGUCGUAUAUUCCUGGAGCUGCCACCACGCGAUGUCUUGUCGCCUAGAGUGUCGGUACUCCACAUGAGGUGACAGAUGAAGUUUUUGGCCUGCUCUCCCUCCAUCCCUGCCAGCCGGCGCACAAGGUAUUGAGGAAACCAACCACAGUGCAAAUUCCACUGGCACUCCAAGACAUGGAUACAUGUUAGCCAAGGAUCCAAUACAGUGGUGAUCUGAAGCGGCUACAUGUUUUUCUACAACUACCAUCCAGAUUUGCAGCUUAGUCAAACAAGGGACCCAAAGCCGAUGGAAGAAUAGGAAGGUACCCAAGAUCCCGAAGGGGCACACACUACAGUCUGGUAUCCAUGGUAGUGAUUCGUGCGGCAAACCCCACCUUUGAUGUCGCUGAGGGUUGAGUUGAGUAAAGUAAGACAUGUGGGGAGUGAGCUCCAAGAUAAUUUUGGGGGAAUUACAGACUGUGUGAUCCCCGCCCAUUACUUAUUGCAGUUAUCGGUUCUCUUUCUAUAUUAGUGCCUUAUUGGAAACAAAUGCCCCUAUCGAGUGUACGGGGCAAUGUGGCUACCUAUCCCUGAAAUGGCACAUAAAGAUCAGCUCUCCUACUUUGGAUCCAUAUUACUUCAAAAAAGUGUGGAUGGAUGCAGAAUGGAAGGGCAGAAGUAGGAUCAGGAUGAACAAUGAGGAGAUAUGAAGGCUACUAGAGCUGGGCCUCGAGCCAUGAUAUAUUCCCCAUCUGGCAGUGGCAAGCUGGAGCAUGUCUAUUUCUCUACGACAGAAGGCAGCAUGCCUCCCUGAUGGACAAGAAGCAAAGGGAUCUCAAAAGGUUUAAAUAAUGCAAGGGUGCUUUUGCAUCUUUGUUAAGAAAAGGAUUAAUGCGGAUAUCGAUUGCCACAACGUUACAUACAGGUUCAGAAACAAUGACAUGGAUUGUCCUCUUAACAUACAGGUUCAGAAACGAUGACAUGAAUUCAAGGUCUAAUCAUGUUCCUUUUAGCAUUCCUGGUAUGUCGCUAGCUUUUCAGAUAUUUUUACUGGCCGUAUGCAUUGUCAGGUGGCUUUUCCAAACAUGUAUUGGAACUCAAUAGAGGUUGAUUCCAGUGACAUUUGAUGGUACAUAUCGUCUCUUUUGUGACUUGCAGUCUGUUCCUAAAUUAUUUGCACUCUGCAGGUUAAGAGGACAAUCCCAAUGAACUAUUGUGCAUGUCCAAUGAAUGACAUUCUGUUAGCACAUUCCAUAUUUGGUGUUCUGGUAGUGCGAUGGAUUAUAUUAGCCAGCAGUGGCGAAUGAGAAACCGCAGUGGAGGGCGCCGCUUGGCCUCCACGGCAGCCGUUUCCAUGGGCUCUUCUGCUUUGGAUGAACUGCAGCAGCGUGGCCUGUAGCUAGCACACUCUGGAUUGCCAUGAUCGAUCGCAACAGCCACCACACUGGUUUCCUCAUUAGAAUUUUUAGGCUGCUGUUGGGUCUCAUAUCGAUCAUGGCAAGUUUGCUCACCAAAACAAUUAAGCACAUUAAUGGAAAAAAAAUUGUUUGGUCCCCUCCCUUGUAUUCAUGUGACCUGGUACGUUAUCCAUCGAACAUCAACAUCAAAGAUGUCCAGGGGAUUCAUCCGUGCAGAGAGCUCUCCUCCUGGUUUGAUCUGGAGAGGUAUUUUUUCAAAAUGAGGAUCUGGAGAGUAAUUGAUGAUCCAAAGGAAUCACUAGCAUCAUCUAACAAAGCUUCAACGGAUAGGAGGUGAUAAGAUUGGGCGAGAUAGAAGAGAUCAUAAGAAAGAUGAUGAAUAUUACUGCGCUGCUCUUCACCUUCAACUGCGACCUCGCUGAACUAAGGUGUCCUCGACAAGUGCGAGCCUGGCAAGGCCACUGCCUCCACCCUUGCAUUGCCCUCGCUUCAGCUUCUGCAGGAAGUUACAGGGAACAAAUGCUGCUAAGCCAUUAGGAUUCUACAUGUCUAAAUUCAUUUACAGUUGUUCGGUGUUGUUCAGUGCAGUUACCAGGACCUCAAUGUGUCCAUCUGAAUUGAUUUCGUGGAAUUGCGGAUUGGAUCUGCAGAUUCUAUUCAUGGUACAGGGAGGUAUAACUAUGAGAAAGUUCCGCCGCCAAAUAUUAUCAUUUUUUUAUAUUUGAUUCAUGUUCUUUGCUGCUAUUUCCAGCAUCUCCACAUGUAGUUAUGAGGAAAAGGUCCUAAUACGCAACUUUGGAGAAGAGAUGAAUGGUGCUUAUCCUUUUCUAAUAUAUACAAAUUUGUAUGGGUUGCACGAGGUCAGGUAGAGUUUUUCAGUUAGUUCUGAAACAAGAAACUAUAAGGCAUGAUUUAUUUGCAGACUUUGCAUGUCACCAAAAGCAUUGAUUUAUCUAUAGGCAUCACCACAACGUUAGCUGGUGAAUAGAGGUUUGUUCUUUGCUUUUUUGUGUCUUUUCUCAUAUUUCAUAAGUUGUAUGUUUCCUUUUCUUCAUUUCCAUAUAUUUUCUGGUAGAGGAUAGUGAAUUAUAGCAUGUGUCUUCCUGUUUCUCAUAAAGGCACGCCUCUUUGUUGAUGUGCAGAUUCACACUAGCAUAAUUUCUAUUUCUUAUAAAUCCUGCUUUUCUCAAAUAACAAAGUGGAAUAGACAUCAAGAUUCUUUCUAUUCACCUUUCAGCAUAGGAUCCUUCAGUUGACUGAGAAGUAUUAUCGGGCAGUUCAGCUUGAUCACAUCACAUCGAGAUAUGGUUGAUGACCUAGAACGUUGGCAUUCUCGGCCUAUUGACAAUGUCAGGCUGAAACUGGGGAAUAAGGACAAGAGCAAUCAGAAAUGGACAAACGUGUAUGCCACAACGCAGGGCAGCACUGGUCAU